GCUCGCUUGGUGAAAUUAUGGUAAACACGAUGGAUUUAAAAUCCAUUCCACAUUUUUUAAGGUUACCGGUUCGAGUCCGGUAGCGAGUA
rnacentral:tRNA from 1 species